GAUGAACGCUGGCGGCGUGCUUAACACAUGCAAGUCGAACGAAGCACUUUAUUUGAUUUCCUUCGGGACUGAUUAUUUUGUGACUGAGUGGCGGACGGGUGAGUAACGCGUGGGUAACCUGCCUUGUACAGGGGGAUAACAGUUGGAAACGGCUGCUAAUACCGCAUAAGCGCACAGCAUCGCAUGAUGCAGUGUGAAAAACUCCGGUGGUAUAAGAUGGACCCGCGUUGGAUUAGCUAGUUGGUGAGGUAACGGCCCACCAAGGCGACGAUCCAUAGCCGACCUGAGAGGGUGCCCGGCCACAUUGGGACUGAGACACGGCCCAAACUCCUACGGGAAGCAGCAGUGGGGAAUAUUGCACAAUGGGCGAAAGCCUGAUGCAGCGACGCCGCGUGAGCGAAGAAGUAUUUCGGUAUGUAAAGCUCUAUCAGCAGGGAAGAUAAUGACGGUACCUGACUAAGAAGCACCGGCUAAAUACGUG
rnacentral:rRNA from 1 species